GGGCAGCAGUAGGGAAUAUUGGACAAUGGGCGAAAGCCUGAUCCAGCAAUGCCGCGUGAGUGAUGAAGGCCUUAGGGUUGUAAAGCUCUUUUACCCGAGAUGAUAAUGACAGUAUCGGGAGAAUAAGCUCCGGCUAACUCCGUGCCAGCAGCCGCGGUAAUACGGAGGGAGCUAGCGUUGUUCGGAAUUACUGGGCGUAAAGCGCACGUAGGCGGCGAUUUAAGUCAGAGGUGAAAGCCCGGGGCUCAACCCCGGAACUGCCUUUGAGACUGGAUUGCUAGAAUCUUGGAGAGGCGAGUGGAAUUCCGAGUGUAGAGGUGAAAUUCGUAGAUAUUCGGAAGAACACCAGUGGCGAAGGCGGCUCGCUGGACAAGUAUUGACGCUGAGGUGCGAAAGCGUGGGGAGCAAACAGGAUUAGAUACCCCUGUAGUC
rnacentral:rRNA from 1 species